UAAAAUGUAGAGAUGUUUGUGGGAAAAGCAGAAAAAUGGGCAUUCAAGGCUAGUCCAUUAGCUUGAAUGAAGGUUAACAUGAAAAAUAUACCUGGUUAUGACAGCAGUAACUCUGCCAGUUCACAGGACAAUACAAGGGAGAUUUACUCUGAGUGAUAUUCAUAUUGUGUCCUAUCCCUCUCAGGUUAUUUAACUGCCUCCGGGGAGAUUCACAAUGGGGACUGCAGGGUUCAGCUGUUGCAACAAUUCUGGGUGCAGAAAGAACAGGUGAGCAGCAGUUCUUGCAUGACCGGUGGCUAUCAUACAUACAUCUGCUACCACACAGAUUAAAAGCAUGAAGAAACAUAAGAAGGCUCAUCUCUGAAGUCAGGCAAACAUGAGGGCAUGAAGACAUAUAACUGUCCCAGACUUGAGAUACUCAGAUAAUACUUUCUACAAUCCUGCCUGACAAAGUUACUUAGUAGUAAAGAAAAAAAAAUACAGCAACAUAGAAGAUCUGGAUCCCAUAUAUUUUUUCAUCAAGAAACUUUGAAAGUCAAGCAAGUAUUUUUUAUCUUGACCUUUUUGCAACACUGCCCCAUAUUCACAAGUUGUCAGCACAUGUUUGUCUGGAGUCAUCCGUCACUGCCAUCCGUCACUCCUCUGCCAUUCCCAUCAGUCCCAUUAUCUGGGAUCAAGAGAGAGCUGAGGAUAUAGCCUGAAGGAUCAUUAAACCUCAGCUUCCAAGUAUGGCACGUAGUCCAGGUGGCCUGUUGUUAUUUAUAAUAAAGAAAUAACACAGCAGAACCGCCUGAUAGUGGCCCAUGAGGCCUCCUGAAAGGACAGGCUGAGGGAUGUCAUCACUGAAGGACAGCUAAAAGUGGACUUCCUUCCCCCCACACAGUAAACAGAGAGAAUUUAUUGAACAUCUGUUCAGUACAUGGCUGGGAAGAUUGAUUAAUUUAAUUGCUCACACUUUGCUUAAGUAACAUUUGAAUACUUAAUGUCAGGUUUGAAGGAUAUUACAAUGUUUCCUCAUACACCUUCUUUUUAAAGAGACAGAGUUUCUUAGGGCUUUUGGUGUCUCUCAGGGAAGUUGAAAUGCAUCCUAAAAUUUACUUUUUAUGGGAGUCUGUAAAAGGAAGCAAGUGGGAAAAGCUUCCUUUUUUCAUAAAAGCAACUAGUUAUUUUUCACAUUUUGCCCAUCAUGAUAUAUCAUUAAUGUAAUGAGGUUGGAUCUUCUUCACUGAGUGGUGGUAAUUUUCCCUCUGGUAUCAACUGUAGAGACAGUUCAGCAUAUUAUAUAUUUCUGUACCCUUUAACAUAAUACCAUGAUCGUAUUGAAGUAGAUGAUGAGUUAAAGCUGCAAUAAUUUAUUGCAAGUUCUACUCAGGCAGUGUGUUUGGGAGGAAAUUUGUGAAAUCCUCACAGGAAAAAAAUACAUUAAUGGAGUAACAUUAAACAAUGGAAUGUCUGAUAUCAUUCCAUCAUCUAUGCUUUAAUUAGAUGAUGAUUUCUCAGUUGUGUGUCAUCCAAAGGGAUAUUACCCUUAUGACCAAUAUAUAAUAAAACCUAAAUGAAAAUACUAAAGGACACUUAGGGGUUCAGUGGUCACCAUGAAAAAGGAAAACUUUACCAACAUAGUUAACACAGCUAUUUCCUAUUCUAAGAAUAGGGUUCAUUUCAGCAUUUCACAGUUCCAGUGUCUGUUGACUGCUGAUAAAUGCAGACAAUAUAAUGGUGAUCAUUGUAUGGUGGAAAAUAAAUGUGAAGUUGCAUGUUCUGCUACACAAUAAAACUGUGCUGCCAUCUCCACCAAUGGAGGUUAACCUAAUAAAAAUAGACUGACAGAUUUGUGGUUCUUGUAGAAAGGCAUUUAUUUUUGACUCCUAAAAGCUCAAACCUCAGUUCUCUAGUAAAGAUGUUCUUUGAUCUUGCUGUGCCACUGGUAAUUUUAAGUCUGAUAUACAGAUAUGGCAUCUUUAAAUAUUUGUCUUACUUUUUGUGUAAUUUGCUUUGGAACUGUUAGUGCAGUAAAUAGGAAAUGAUAC